GCUGACUGGCUGUGGCAGGAGGCGGGGGGCGUGGUUGGCCCGCCGGGGAAGCCCCGCCAGAUUUAAAAAUACUGAGUCUCAAAGCGCGGGGUCUACUCUACCCAGCCGGCACCGCUCGGUUAGCUGACGCUGAGGUAGCCGGGGAGGUGCGUCCCGUCGGUCCCCCGCCCCAGAGCGGCCGCAGUCCCGGCUCCCGGAGUGGUGGUCCCUGCCCCGUCCAGAGAAUAACAUGGGGAGGCCGAGGAGCCUGCGCUGCGGCGGACGACCAGCCCCGCCGGCGGUCGCUGAGGCUGGGGUUCCAAUGCCAGUCUUCCAGUGCCAGUGCUGCUUCCCAGCCCACACAUCCCUCUCACCACUGCUGCAUCCUAAGGAAGUCAGCAACCUUCAGGGGGUACUUGUUCCUGGAGCCAGAGUAGAGGAGGGUGGCGCUUCCAAGGCUGUGGGCAUCCAAAGAAAGAGUGCUGUCCAUCCUCCUCCUGCCUACUGAUCUCCCAUCAGCAGAACCCCACUGGAGACCUACUGGCAG
rnacentral:lncRNA from 1 species